GUUCGACUCGAGCGCCAGCGAGAGAGCGUGGCCGCAGGCAACGACCCGAAGGGCGAAGCGCGCAGCGCUGAGUAAUCCUUCCCCCACCACCA
rnacentral:sRNA from 1 species